rnacentral:rRNA from 1 species
GUGCCAGCAGCCGCGGUAAUACAGAGGGUGCAAGCGUUAAUCGGAAUUACUGGGCGUAAAGCGCGCGUAGGUGGUUCGUUAAGUUGGAUGUGAAAUCCCCGGGCUCAACCUGGGAACUGCAUUCAAAACUGACGAGCUAGAGUAUGGUAGAGGGUGGUGGAAUUUCCUGUGUAGCGGUGAAAUGCGUAGAUAUAGGAAGGAACACCAGUGGCGAAGGCGACCACCUGGACUGAUACUGACACUGAGGUGCGAAAGCGUGGGGAGCAAACAGGAUUAGAUACCCGAGUAGUCC